GUUACACGGAUAAAAUAAAUGAAAGGGGUGUAGGGUACAUCUGUAUUAAGUGUAAGCAAAUACUUAAAACAUUGGCGGGGGGUGGGGGUAGAGUGGUCCAUCACAUUAACUAGUUAGAUGCAGCAUGAUGCUAAAUGCCGGGUGGUGUUGUUGUUUUUUUUUAAAAAAGAAAACAAAAUAAAAGCAUAUGCAUAGCAUUUAAUGCCAGUAGGCUACACAAGCAGACUGGUAUAGUUUUUUUAGGACUGCAGUUUUAUUUAAGAAUGAUAUGCACAUUGGGAGAUUGGUGCUGGAUCAAUCACACAAUGUCUUAUUUUUUUAUUUCGGUAACCUCCUAUUCUAAAUAUAUCUUAUUAAAAAGUUUUAAGCAUCAGAAGAACUGGCAAUUGAUCUGCAUGCAAAUCACGUUGAAAAGUAAUUUCAAGUUGUAUAUUGAAAAAUGUCCAAGUGAACAAGUGCCCAAACUGUAUUUGCAAAGUAGCAUAAUUUGCCAAAAUAUGCCUUAUUGUUCUGCAUGCUGUUUUCAGGAAACCCCUCAAAUACUCACACUUUUGACCCCAUUGUGAAGGCCAUAAGUAACAAUUCAAUAACUUUCACACACAUGCAAAAUCAGUCGCUGACAUCGUAGAACAUAGUAGCCAGCUGCUAAAUCAGUCACCUGAUAGCGGUUAGUGGCAAAUAGUUUACAUCAUUUAUGAUAUACAGAAUAUUUUCUAUCUGUAUUAGGGUGGUUUGCAAACAAACAAAUCUAUAUGUUAAUGGGGAGCCCCUAGCUGGACUAAUUUCCAAGAUUUUCUUCCGUUCAGUGCUUUACGCAUCUUAUUUCUCCUAGACCUGCCAUUUCCUUAUCAGAACACUUCCUGAUCUUGUUUACUGGAAACUUAUUCUCUUAGUUGAAGGAAGACGCGAGAUAAGCAGCUGAAGAUAUCAGCAAAGUCAAGGCUAUACAACUCAAGUAGGAAGACUAAAAUGCAACUGCAGCUGCCCACAGUUUGUAGCUAUAUUUGCAAGUGUAAGGUUGUGAUUACUAGAUUAAACUGUAGUUAACCAUCCGGGGCAGUAUUGCUCUCUGGGGUUGUUCUGAUAAGUAUGGCCAUUGCAAGCUUAUCCAUGUGGGUCACUAUACAGGUGCCAGAAUCUGCUGCAUGCACAGAGUGGCCAGACACAGCUCUUAUGUGUGUAUCCCCUUUGUGCAAUCAUAGCAUGCUCCAACAACGUUAAAGAUAACAGGGAAAUCCUUGCCCCAUAUAGCUCCAUGAGGCCAAGGGGGACGAAUCGAACUUAAGCAAACAGUGAAAUAUCUCAAGCCCUAUAAAUUCCAAUGGGCUUUUAAUGCCCAUAAAUAAUUAUGGAUUGCCCCCAUGCUGUAGUCAUUCUUUCUAAUUGCUAAAUGCAAUACUGCCAUCUUGAAUUUAAUUCAAAAGUAAAAAUGCAUAGCCUAGCCUUGCGAUGUGAAUUGUCGUAAUCUCUUUAAAAAAGGAACAAGUUCAGAUGACUCUAACAUGUUGACAUGUUGGAUUUGAUACAAAAUGUGUUGCAGUUUUCAUCCACAUUUUCAAAUUAGAAUCCAGUUUUUUGCCGUCGUCAUGAGACUGGGACUGCUGAGACCUUGGAUGGAGGUGGUGAAGAUUAUGACUUUGUGGGUCUUCCAUUAUUGAACAUUCUUUCUAUUGCAUAAGAACAUCCUGAAUGGCAAUCCUAAAACUUGACUCAUUUUUUUUAAGGUAUCAGGGCUGAAAAAUGCAUAGUUGAUGAUGGUAUAUUUCUGUGCACUGAUCUUCUCCCCACCCCCCACCCCCAAAUCUAUAGCUAUGCAGUCAGCAGUGAAGCUAAUCUGCAAACUAAGGAGAUUUGUUAAAUAUUGCUCAAAAGGCACGUUUCCAGGUUGUUAGGUGUCUAUUAACAAUUUGUGCCUGUGAUUUCCUCCCAUCACUUUUUUGUGUUCGGUUUUCUUCUUUUCCCUCUCUUCCUCUCCCACUCCCCAUGAGUCUUCUCCUCUGUGUUUGCUACAAGCUUCUCUUUCAUACAUUUCGACGGGAUACCAAUGACCUCCAGUUGUAUUCUAGAAAGGGUAGCAUUGUCAGGAGAAACAGUAACUUCACUGAUAAUGCCUUUGAUAUAAAUGAUCCAUAGUAGGAGGAGAAUACACAUUAAAACGCGAUUACAGAGGAACUUGCUAUGUACUAUCAAUUCCCAACAUAAGAAGAUUACGGUUUUCCUUUCGCAAAUCAAAUUACUUUGAGCCUUUGUGCUACCUCUGUUAAAAUAUCGUUUGUGAAGCUCACAUUUUACGUGACGCUGCUUGUUUUAUUUGUUUCUGAGACACAGAUUGUUGAAAAGAAAAUAAUAUAAAAAUGAAUUCAGUCAUUCUGUCCCAUUCCAUUCCAUUUGUUCAGGUAAUGUGGGUGCUGGGAGAUCCUCUCUCUCUCUGUGUGUGUGUGUCUACAUGUACAGUCAUACCUCUAGUUGCGUUAGGUUCAAGUUGCGUUUUUUCUGGAUUCGAACAUGGCAAACCUGGAAGUGUUUACUUCCGGGUUCGCUGCUUCACGCAUGCGCAGGAGCGAUCUGUCGCGUCAUGCGCACACACAGAAGCGGCGCUCUACUUACGGACUUUUCAGGGUGCGAACAGUAUCCCGGAACGGAUCGCGUCCAUAAGUAGAGGUACCACUGUACAUCCUUAUCCAUUUACUUUGAUGGAGGAAACAGCUCUAUGCAUAAAGUAGCAAAGGUUUCCGAGGUGACUUCCUGGGUCAGCAAAGAGAAGCACUCCCCACCCCAAGGCCAAUACAAUUAGUAUUCACAGCAGCUGUGAUAUAGUUUACGAAGUUGAGAAAUUUGAUUUUUCACAACUCACAUGAGCACAGAUGGAGAACCCAUGUCUACAACAUAGAGAAAUAUUUCCGUAGCGUUGUUUUCAUCUUGGCACUCUCUUUUUUUGCUAGCACAAGCCACCCACGUUUCUUCACUAUGCAUUUAGCAAUAAAUUUGCACAAACCAACGGAACAUGAAAAUACUGGGCUGUAUCCAACACUGGAACUGCUUGGAGCAGACUCCCUGAAAUUAAUGAGCAUGACUAACCUAGAUCCAUUAAUUUCAUUGGGCCUACUCUGAGUAGAGAUAGUAUUCGCGGCAACCCUUUAUUGCACGGGUGAUAUUUUCCCCUGUGUCUUAAGACUUUUCCCCAGUGCUCUUCCAAACAACUCUUGAGAAGUCAUCAAAUAGCAUCACAACGGGUAAAUUUACUCUCAGAUCUAUUGACAUAGCAUCAACAGGUUCCUGAGAGAAUAAGCCAUGUAAGUCACAUUGGAGCCAGCAGAAGGUAUCUGCAGGGGAUAAUCAAAGGAGAGCGAGCCUCCUUCCUUAUCCACACCAAUUUUGCCUUUCAAAUGACACCUGCCCCUGCACAAGCAUGUUUGGAAAGACCCCUAUGGUUGAAGCAAUGCAUUGCUAUAUCCUAAGCUCCAUUCUUCUUCCUUGUUCUCUUACCAUCUUCUUUCAUAUUAUAAUGUCAUAUAGCAUUCUAGUUUGGUCUCUCUCUCUCUCUCUCUCUUAUUUUAACUACACAGUCCAGUGCAUGGUUACUCAGAAGUAAGCUGUGUGUAAUGGGAUCUACUCCCAGGUAGUCGUGUUUACAAUUGCAAUGUAUGUGUGCUUUUAUUUAUGUGUACAGUGGUACCUCGGGUUACAUACACUUCAGGUUACAUACGCUUCAGGUUGCACACUCCACUAACCCAGAAAUAGUGCUUCAGGUUAAGAACUUUGCUUCAGGAUAAGAACAGAAAUUGGGCUCCGGUGGCGUGGCUGCAGCAGGAGGCCCCAUUAGCUAAAGUGGUGCUUCAGGUGAAGAACAGUUUCAGGUUAAGUACGGACCUCCGGAACGAAUUAAGUACUUGACCUGAGGUACCAGUACAGUGGUACCUUGGUUUACGAACUUAAUCCGUUCUGGAAGUCCAUUUCUUAAACCAAAUCCGUUCCUAAACCUUUCCCUAAUGAGGCCUCCCACCGCCGGUGCCCUUCCACCGUUUGGCUUCCGUUCGUAGACCGAGGUAAAGUUCACUAACUGGAACACUCCAGUUUUUGGGAGUUUGUAUACUGAAUAGUUUGUAAACAGGGCUAUUCUGAAACCAAGGUACCACUGUAUGUGUAAAAGAUAGGAGGUAGUUGAAUAAAUCGGGGAGCUUUUUCUCUCUCUCUCUCUCUCACACACACACACACACACAGCCAAGUAAUAUUAUUGUCAAUGGUCCUUAAAAUUACCAGCCUGGAAAUGUUAUGGACUUCUAGAGUAACGGAAAAUAGAGAUGAAAUUGUUUUAUUUAGAAGCCGCAUUAUAUAAGUCUGGCUGUACUAAAGUGUUUCUUGGAAAUAGAGAAGAGCGUUCAGCAAUGUUUGCCUCAAAAUCAAUACAAUGUAGGCGUUUAGUGGAUCUGAAAACACCUAUAACAACAAAGACAUACACUGUAACGGAAAACGUUAGCAAGCCCUACUGAUUUAUUUCUGUUAUUACUGGGUUCUUUCCCAAAAUUCCCAGUGCUCUGGUUCCUUUCUGACACAAGCCAUGUGAGGAUAGAAAAGUAGAGAAUUCUCUGUUGUUUUGCAGUUUUGCAUAUGUAUAAAUAAAAGCAGCUCCCACCUUACUUUCAGUGUCUUUCGUCUCAGUGUUGCCCUUGUAGAACACUCUAUAGAGUGGGGGCAAAACUAGAAUUAGUCAGUUCUGCCUGUCACUGGCUUUGGCGCCACCUACUGUUCAGCUCCCUACCUUCCUCCCUACCAACCCCAAUGAAUGAAGGAGUCCGAAGGGAAAAUAGCAAAAUAAAAGAUUUUCUUUCUAGAUAACCUGCAACUAAAAAAACAAAACAAACCCACCAAGCAGAUGUCAAGGCAAGAAACAACUAUUUUACUUUUAAAAGACAACUGAAGGUGGCCCUGUUUAGGGAAGUUUUUAAUGUCUGAUACUGUAUUGUUUUUAAUAUCCGGUUGGAAGCCACCCAGAGUGGCUGGGGAAACCCAGCCACAUGGGUGGGGUAUAAAUAAAUAAUUAUUAUUAUUUCCGUUCAGAGCUAUCCUAGGAAAUCAGUUGGAAACUGUCAAGUCAGCUCAGAGCUGGAACAGAGCUGAGAGGGGAGAAAACCUGUCAUAUAUUCUUAACUCAAGAAGACUCUAAAAUGGGGUGUGGACAUAGAGGAAAGGGCAUGGAUCCAUUGCUUUUAAAUAUAAAUUGCUGUAAGCUGCAUAAAUAAUUGCAUGAUUAACUCAAUUUUGAAUAGGUUGAUAAAGGAGGUUUCUAGUGACUUGGAAAGAUGGGCACAAUUUAAAUGUAAUAUUUGGGGUAAGGGCAAUAUUAUGGCAUGGAUAAUGUAUAUAUUCUUUGUGGUAUUUAUAUUCGCCUUGUAUAGUUUUAAAAGAAUAAUGGGAUAUUUAAGAAAUUUGUUUGGGAUAAUUCUCUACCUUGUUUUUCACUUUAGAAAUUGCAGCUACCAAUAUCAGAAGGCUUUAAAAAAAUGUUCCAGUUAUUAGUUUAUACAAUAGGGCAUAUUUAUUAGCACGUAUAAACAAUUGUCAAGUUUCCCUUUGUAUUAAUACCCCAGCUAGGGUACUUUUGGAGGUGGCUUUUUAACACACCUAUUUGGAUAACUAGUGCUGGGAUCUGCAUAU